GGAGUGAAGGUUGGAGAUGCCUGAGAAGAUGCCCUAUCUCCUCAAACGCUCCUAAAAUUGUUACCGUUACUCACCUUCUCUGAUGUCCUCAUCGGCUGGCCCUCAGUUGGCGACGGUGGUUCCACCAAAUAUCCCUAAUAUCCCUAGCUCGUCUAAUCACCUAGUAGGAUCCUAUAUGUCCUAUCUAUCCUCUGCUCCUAAAUAGAGUUCAUGAUCUCCGAAGGUUUUCACAAAAAUUACUACCUUCAAUUGCAAACCAACUAUCUUCUUCAAAGCUAGCGACUAUUUUGGCCCGAUGGCAGAUAAAUACAGGCUCACCUAGGUGGGAAAAUUGUCAUCUGGGAGACCAAAAUUAGAGAAAAUCAUGUAAGAUUUCAAAGCUCAAUUUUUUAUUAUGGGACAGGUAAAGAUAGGGAUUUUUUAUUACGGACAUGUUUUCAUUGAUUUUACCUGCAAAGAGGAUUGUAGUACGACCUACUUUAGAAGAAUGAUGAAUAUUGGAGGUUAUCUGAGGAGAAUCUUUAAAUAGACUCUGAAUUUCAGAGCGGAGGAGAAAACCCCUCUAGCUCUGAUGUGGGCAUUGUUGCCUCAAUUCCCCUGGCACAUACAUGAUAUAAAUUAUCUUGAACAGGUUUUGAGCACAGUGGGAACACCUUUACAAAUUGAUCAAGCUACGAACAAUCGCACCAGACCUCAUCUAGCAAAAGUUAGAGUCGAAAAAAGGACCUUACCCUCAUCUGUUUGGGUAGGUACUCUUAAUUAAAAAGGCAAUCCUUUGGGAGGUUAUGACCACCCUAGUAAAUAUGAAGGUAUCCCAAAAUAUAGUUUACAAUGCAAGCACCAAGGACACUCUAUUCACGAUUGCACAUACAAUGAGAAAAAUAAAGGUAAGGGUAAAGAGAAGGCACCAAUGCAGAUUCACUAGGAAAAGAAUCAAGAGGUGGCUAGUAACCCUAUUCCUAAUCUGAUUCACCAAAAACAAGUCCCUCGUAAAACUGUCCCUCAGAAAUAAACUACUCAGAAUCCAAAGAACAACCAAAUAAGGUUGUGAAACAGGUGUAAAAAGUUAUCAAAAAUAAUAAUCAUGGUAUCCCUAUCAAUUCUAAUAUGGGUAAUGAUAAGAGUAAGGAGGCCCCAAUGCUUUGUGACAAAGAAUUGAAUAAGGAAAAUAACUAUUAUUUUCCUAACAAUUUUCAGAUGUUUGAUAGGGUUGGGUCCAGAAAAGAUUUUUUGUAGAAAGCUCCAACCUGAAUGAAACUUUUUGGGAGGGACUGUUACCAUUGAUUUGGGCAAUACUUUUAAUGCUUAACAAGUAGAAGGGGUGGAUGAUGAUGAAGAGGACCCAGGUGAUUCUUCUGACCAUGAGGAAGAAGAAGACUAUGCCUCAAGAGACAAUAGGUCACAAGAGGACGUCCUCUCAGAUAGUGCGAAAUCCGAUGAUGAGAAUGCUAGAAGAUGGAUCUACAAUUUAUCCACUCAUCAGAAGGAGGAUUGUAGCAAUUUAUUCCCAAGAGGAUCCAAAAGUCAAGAAAUCAUGAAAGAAAAUUUCUCUCCUAUAAAGACUAGAGAAAUUUUGGCUCAACAAAAAUAUCACAUCAAAUAUUUUCAAUGAUUAGUAUCCUCUCUUGGAAUAUUAGAGGGAUAAGGACUAUGUGGGCUUUUGAAAUAUUGAAGACCCUCAAAUCAAAAUAUAAAAUGUCCAUUAUCAUUCUUCAAGAACCUAUUUUACAGGAACCCCUUCAGGUUGACUUAGCUAAUAAAUAUAGGAUCCUCCUGGGAUGGAUCACUGUUAUUGUAAUAUCAAUAACAAGAUUUGGCUUCUUUGGGAUAAUAUUUAUGAUAUAAGUAUCAUUACAGACUCUGAUCAAUUGGUCUCAGCAAGUAUAAAGGGUCUGUACAGCGUAGAGCUGGCUUAUAUAUCUGCUAUAUAUGCUAAAUGUGAUAGCAAUCUUAGAAAAAAUCUAUGGGAUUCUAUUGAGUUGUUGUCCAAAAAUAUUAAUUGUCCCUGGACUGUCUUUAGUGAUUUUAAAGUGAUAACUUGUGCUGAAAAGAAAAAAGAGGGAGACCUUUCAAUAUUACCCAUAGUUUUGACUUUAUUAACUACAUGGAGGACUCUGGACUUCAAGAUGCAGGCUAUUUUGGCUCCCCUUUUACCUGGUGUGACAAUAGGGGGCCUAUAUCUAUUUGGAAGAGACUGGACAGAGUGCUUAUUAAUGUUGAAUGGUUUCUCUGCUUUGAUUACACUACUGUUAACCACCUUCCUAGUAUAGGUUCAGAUCGUUCUUCUCUGUUGAUUAAUCUGGAUAAGGAAGACUCUACGCCUAUUAAAUUCUUCAAGUUCUUGAACUUAUGGGUCGAACACAAGGAUUUCCUCAGUGUUAUCCAACAAGCUUGGGAGGAGAACAUUUAUGGAAAUCCAAUGUGGAUUCUUCACCAAAAAUUAAAAAGAACCUCUAAGAGUCUCAGUACUUGGUCCAGAACUACUUUUUGGUGAUAUCUUUGAAGAAGUUGACAAAAUGGAAGCUAAGAUCAAGGAUUUGGAACAAAAGUUGAUCGAUGAUACCUCCAAAUCAAAUAGAUCUCUUUGAAUCUGACAAAUGCUCAAUAUAUUUAGGUUCUAAAGAGAAAGGAUUCUUUUUUGAAGCAGAAGGCUAAAGUUAGAUGGUUGGCUGAAGGAGAUGCAAAUUCUGCCUACUUUCACAACACCAUCAAAGGCAGAAGGAAGAAAUUCAACAUUCAACAAAUUAUGAAUGAUGAUGGUAUUUGGGUGCUUGGCAAAUAGGAGAUUGCUAAUGCCAGGAUCCAACACUAUCAAGAUCUUUUCUGCUCCACUGAAGGAGAUGUUGAUCAUCCUAUUUAUGACCGCAUAACUCCUCUGGUGACUGAUAUAGAUAAUCUUUCUCUUAAUUCUAUCCCCCACUAUGGAUCAAAUCAAAGAUGCUGAUAUGGCUAUAGAUCCUGAUAGCUCCCUAGGUCCUGAUGGUUUCAAUGAAAAAAAUUUCCAAGUAACAUGGGAUGUUAUCUGUUAUGAUUUGGCAAAUGCUAUUCAGAGUGUAUUUGGUGGUGUUGACUUACCUAGAUUUUUUACCCAUACAUACCUUGUUAUGAUACCUAAAGUAGAUCACCCACAGGUUUUCUCUUACCUCAGACCUAUAAGCUUGUGCAAUGUUACUACUAAAUUAAUUUCUAAACUUAUCAAUUCCAAAAUCUCUUCCAUUCUCCCAAGGAUUAUCUCUUAGAACCAAAGUGGUUUCAUUAAAGGGAGAAUGAUUUUUUAGAGUAUUCUUCUAGUUCAAGAGAUCAUUAAUGAUAUGGGUAAACCUAAUAAGGGUGGCAACUUGGUUAUCAAACAUGAUAUGGACAAAGCUUAUGAUAAGGUCUCUUGGCUUUACUUCUGUGCUGUGCUUAGAAGAUUGGGCUUUGAUGAGAAUUGGGUGGAUCUUAUUUAUAGAUUUAUUUCUAAUAACUGGUAUUCUCUAGUAAAAAUGAUGGUAGAUAUGGUUUUUUUAAAUCUUCUAAUGGUCUCAGACAGGGAGACCCCAUAUCCCCAUCACUUUUUGUUCUUGGUGUAGAACUUCUUUCUAUUAUGUUGAAUAAACUUCAUGAUGACUAUAAUUUUAGGAACUUCUAUAUAUCUAGAAGAGGUCCAAAAACUAAUCACCUUUGUGUUGCAGAUGACAUUAUUUUGUUCAACAGUGAUAACAGAAAAUCAUUGAAGAGGAUCAUGAGAGCUUUAGGGACUUAUGAGGAUGUUUCUGGAUAGAGAAUAAACAAGCAAAAAAGUUCUAUCAUAUUACAUCUCAAUGCAAGCUCAAGAAGGAUAGACAGAGCUACUAGGUUGACUGGAAUGAAGAAGGAAAACUCUCCUUCUAAAUAUCUUAGAUGCCCCAUAUAUUUGGGUAGGAAGAGAAUAUUAACAUACUCGGGCAUGAUUGAAAAGAUUCUAGCAAGGACUAGAGUACGAAAUAAUAAAUUCCUCUCAGCUAGAGGUAAAAGUAUCCUUAUCAAACAUGUGCUUCAAGCCAUGCCUUCUCAUUUAUUAUUUGUUAUGAAUCCCCCUCUUACUGUUUUUUGGACUAUUGAGAAUGAGCUUAAUAGAUUCUUCUAGAGUGGUACUGAUGGCUCCAAAAGGUACCAUUGGUCAUCAUGGGACAAUCUCUCUUACCCUUUUAGUGAAGGCGGGCUAAUUUUAAGAAACUUACUAAUGUUAGCAAGGCAUUCACUGCCAAACAAUGGUGGAGGUUUAGGACUAUGGAUUCUCUGUGGUCUCAAUUCAUGAGAGCUAACUAUGGUUAGAAAUCUCACUUGGUUAGAGUUAAAUGGAGAAAGGACCCAUCCCACAAUUGGAAAGCCAUGUGUGAUAUAAGGAUAUUGUUGAGAAGAAUAUAUUUUGGCUCAUCGGAAAUGGUAUCUUUUUAAUUUGUAUGACCACUGGACCUCUCUAGGUCCUUUCCAUAAGCUCCUCCCCUCCAACUUUACUCUUGGGAGAAUAUGCAUCAAGGAUGUUUUCAAUGGACAUGUUUGGAGCUGGGAUGUUUGUGUGGGUAUUAAUGAUUUUAUGUAAGAUCACAUUCCUAAGAUGUAGAUUGAUUUGAAUGAUGAAGAGGACAUGCCUAUUUGGAUGGGGACUAAUUCAGGCCUUUUUUUCUGUGAGGAAUGCAUGGAACAUGAUGAGAAAAAAUAGAAAGGAGAAUCAUUUAUUAGACAAGCUUUGGUAUAAAGCUCUGCCCUUUAAGAUGCCAUUCAUCUCAUGGAGGAUUUUACUUAGUAAAAUUCCUACUGAUGAUAGUGUCUCUAGAUUUAGCAAUACAGGUCGCUUUAGGUGUCAUUGUUGCAGGGCUCCUCAACCUGAAUCGAUUCAUCAUGUGUUUGUCAAUGGUUACUUUGCCAAGUCAGUGUGGAAACACUUUAGAGAUUUCUUUGGUAUCUCUGGGAAAUUUCACUCUGUUCAACACGCACUUACUUCCUGGUGGAAUUUUGCCUCAUGCAAUCCUGCUUCUGCUUUCUUGACAAAAAAUAUUCCUAUUAUUAUUAUUUGGGAACUUUGGAAAGCUAGGUGCAGUAGUAGAUAUGGACCGUCUAUUGGAACAAACCUGCAAGUAGAUUUUUCAAACUAAACAGUGACAAUGGUCAUAAAAAUAGCAUUUGUGGAGGAGGAGGACUAGUUAGAGAUGCUCAAGGAAGAAUGAUCAUGGCUUAUUCUGUCCCAUUUGGAAUAGGAACUAGCAAUGAAGCCGAAGCCAAGGCCUUGCUUUUUGGAAUUUAGUUGUGCAUGCAACAUGGUCAUACUAAGUUUGGAACUGGAAAGUGACUCAAAUACUUCUCAUAUAUUAGAUUAAGGAUGUCUACAAAAUCCCAUGAAAUCUAGCUACUAUAGUCAAAGAUAUUAGAAGAGCCCUGGGAACCACUACUUGGACUAUUCAACAUUGCUAUGGAGAAGCUAAUCAAGUGGCGGACACCCUUGCUACAAUGAGUCAUACACAGCAAAAUGAAUUAAUUUACUCUUCCUUUAAUGAUCUUCCCAGAAAAUUUAAGGGCCUGAUUAACAUGGACAAAUGAGGAUUCCCUAAUUUUAGGAUUAGGGCCAAAAAACAUUCUGAACUUACCUUGUUAGAUGAGGUUUAUCUUACGUAGCUUUGUCUGCAAUCUUAGACUAAUUAAGAAUGAUCUUGAGAGUUACACUCUCCACAAAACAGUAGUCUUAUGGCUAUUAUUUUUGUGAAGACUCCAAGAGUAUCUCUUGGAUAGCUAAAUGUAUAGCAAUGGGUCUGUCCAUUGUCGUAGAAAUUUUUGAAGAGGUUAGGCAUUUUCUACCUCUUGUUCAUGUAUUCCCCUUUUGGUUAUUACUCCAUUCCAUUUUA